rnacentral:rRNA from 1 species
UUCAUGGAGAGUUUGAUCCUGGCUCAGGACGAACGCUGGCGGCGUGCCUAAUACAUGCAAGUCGAGCGGACCGAUGGGAGCUUGCUCCCUUAGGUUAGCGGCGGACGGGUGAGUAACACGUGGGUAACCUGCCUGUAAGACUGGGAUAACUCCGGGAAACCGGGGCUAAUACCGGAUGCUUGAUUGAACCGCAUGGUUCAAUUAUAAAAGGUGGCUUUUAGCUACCACUUACAGAUGGAC